GGGCGGCUAGCUCAGUGGUAGAGCGUUCGAUUCACAUUCGAAAGGUCAUAGGUCCGAUCCCUAUGCCGCCCA
rnacentral:tRNA from 1 species